rnacentral:rRNA from 1 species
ACGAACGCUGGCGGCGUGCUUAACACCUGCAAGUCGAACGGAAAGGCCUCUUUCGGGGGGUACUCGAGUGGCGAACGGGUGAGUAACACGUGAGUAACCUGCCCUUGACUUUGGGAUAACUUCAGGAAACUGGGGCUAAUACCGGAUAGGAGCUCCUGCUGCAUGGUGGGGGUUGGAAAGUUUCGGCGGUUGGGGAUGGACUCGCGGCUUAUCAGCUUGUUGGUGGGGUAGUGGCUUACCAAGGCUUUGACGGGUAGCCGGCCUGAGAGGGUGACCGGCCACAUUGGGACUGAGAUACGGCCCAGACUCCUACGGGAGGCAGCAGUGGGGAAUAUUGCACAAUGGGUGGAAGCCUGAUGUAGCAACGCCGUGUGCGGGAUGACGGCCUUCGGGUUGUAAACCGCUUUCGCUCAUGACGAAGCUUUGUGUGACGGUAGUGGGUAAAGAAGCACCGGCUAACUACGUG